rnacentral:pre_miRNA from 1 species
CAGCUACUCCUUCCGUUCCGAAUUACUUGUCGCAGGUAUGGAUGUAUUUAGAUGUAUUUUAGUUUUAAAUACAUCCAUUUCUAUAACGAGUAAUUUAGAACGAAGGGAAUAGAAC